rnacentral:tRNA from 1 species
GCAGCUGUAGCUCAGUUGGUAGAGCAGGUUUUUGGAGGCCGGGCGCUUGUUGCCUCGUACAAAUUGCCGGCUGAUCGGUGCCGUAGCAGGGCCUUACUUCGAUGGGGUCGGUGGGGUCGUGGGUUCGAGUCCCACCUGCCGCA